CCCGUCCCAGGACAUGCAGGACCAUUAUGGGUUCCUAUUGACCCUGCAGGAGGUGCUGCUGAGGGAGCUGAGACACGGCGCCCGGCUGUGUGACGUGUGUGCCCCUCAGUGACUGACCCCUGACCCCUGAGUGACCCCUGACCUUGACUGACCCCUGCCUGACCUCUGACCCCUGANCACUGACCCGUAGGGACUGACCCGUCCCAGGACAUGCAGGACCAUUAUGGGUUCCUAUUGACCCUGCAGGAGGUGCUGCUGAGGGAGCUGAGACAUGGUGAGUGACCGCUGAGUGACCGCUGAGUGACCACAGUGACCAUAGAGUGACCAUAGAGUGAGCACUGACCCGUAGGCACUGACCCGUCCCAGGACAUGCAGGACCAUUAUGGGUUCCUGCUGACCCUGCAGGAGGUUCUGCUGAGGGAAUUGAGACACGGUGAGUGACCGCUGAGUGACCACUGAGUGACCACAGUGACCAUAGAGUGACCACUGACCCGUAGGCACUGACCCGUCCCAGGACAUGCAGGACCAUUAUGGGUUCCUGCUGACCCUCCAGGAGGUUCUUCUGAGGGAGCUGAGACAUGGUGAGUGACCGCUGAGUGACCACUGAGUGACCACUGACCCAUAGAGUGAGCACUGACCCGUAGGCACUGACCCGUCCCAGGACAUGCAGGACCAUUAUGGGUUCCUAUUGACCCUGCAGGAGGUGCUGCUGAGGGAGCUGAGGCACGGUGAGUGACCGCUGAGUGACCACUGAGUGACCACUGAGUGACCACAGUGACCAUAGAGUGACCACUGACCCAUAGAGUGACCACUGACCCGUAGGGACUGACCCGUCCCAGGACAUGCAGGACCAUUAUGGGUUCCUGCUGACCCUCCAGGAGGUGCUGCUGAGGGAGCUGAGGCACGGUGAGUGACCGCUGAGUGACCACUGAGUGACCACAGUGACCAUAGAGUGAGCACAGUGACCAUAGAGUGAGCACUGACCCAUAGAGUGACCAUAGAGUGAGCACUGACCCGUAGGCACUGACCCGUCCCAGGACAUGCAGGACCAUUACGGGUUCUUAUUGACCCUCCAGGAGGUGCUGCUGAGGGAGCUGAGGCACGGUGAGUGA
rnacentral:lncRNA from 1 species